GACGAACGCUGGCGGCGUGCUUAACACAUGCAAGUCGUACGGUAAGGCCCUUUCGGGGGUACACGAGUGGCGAACGGGUGAGUAACACGUGAGUAACCUGCCCACAACUUUGGGAUAACGCUAGGAAACUGGUGCUAAUACUGGAUAUGUGCUCCUGCUGCAUGGUGGGGGUUGGAAAGCUCCGGCGGUUGUGGAUGGACUCGCGGCCUAUCAGCUUGUUGGUGGGGUAGUGGCCUACCAAGGCGGCGACGGGUAGCCGGCCUGAGAGGGUGACCGGCCAUAUUGGGAUUGAGAUACGGCACAGACUCCUACGUGAGGCAGCAGUGGAGAAUAUUGCACAGUGGGCUCAAGCCUGAUGCAGCAACGCCGCGGGCGGGAUGACGGCCUUCGGGUUGUAAACCGCUUUCAGCAGGGACGGAGCUUUUUGUGACGGUACCUUCAGAAGAAGCACCGGCUAACUACGUG
rnacentral:rRNA from 1 species